AGAGCGAACGCUGGCGGCAGGCCUAAAACAUGCAAGUCGAACGCCGUAGCAAUACGGAGUGGCAGACGGGUGAGUAACACGUGGGAACGUACCCUUUGGUUCGGAACAACACAGGGAAACUUGUGCUAAUACCGGAUAAGCCCUUACGGGGAAAGAUUUAUCGCCAGAGGAUCGGCCCGCGUCUGAUUAGCUAGUUGGUGGGGUAACGGCCCACCAAGGCUACGAUCAGUAGCUGGUCUGAGAGGAUGAUCAGCCACACUGGGACUGAGACACGGCCCAGACUCCUACGGGAGGCAGCAGUGAGGAAUUUUCCGCAAUGGGCGAAAGCCUGACGGAGCAAUGCCGCGUGAAGGAUGAAGGCCUGUGGGUUGUAAACGUUCUUUUCUCAGAGAAGAAAUAAUGACGGUAUCUGAGGAAUAAGCAUCGGCUAACUCUGUGCCAGCAGCCGC
rnacentral:rRNA from 1 species